rnacentral:lncRNA from 10 species
CCCCAAGUCACACGGCAAGGAAGUGGUAGAGGCAGAUUUGACUUCAGAGCAGCCGCACCCCAAACUCUGCACUGUUGGCUUCCAUGCUCUUCUCCCUCCCUGAAUUUUCAGGAGGGUUCAGAGUCUGUUGGUGGAAUUUCUGGUAUGCCUCAGAUGUAGACUUGUUGCUCCUUUCAGAUUAACUGUUUCUGUCCAAAGCCAAGAAGACAGAAGUGGUGGAUGUGUCUAUAGCUGCCUCGGGCCUCUAGUGCAGGGCAAAGAUGCCCCUCAGAGGAGUCAGGUGAGGCUGAAAUCGAGCCCACAUGUCACCUACCUGUUGGUACGUGGUGUGGGAAUUCGUCAGACUGACAGGAAAGGGUUGCUUGCCAGGCUCUGCACCCCUGAAGCCCCAUCAACCCAGAGGGGUUCCUCUUAAUAAAUUGCACAAAAGCACCGCCUUGCUUUGGGUUUUCCUGGAAGCAGACUCCGAGGCAGAUAUUGCAGUGCAAAUCCUUUUGUUUGGGAGGUGACUCCAGGAAGUACUGGUAAGAGAGUAGGGAAGUAAGACAGGGAGGGGAAGCAAAGCAUUCACCGUGUGUUGCCAUCGUGGACAACUAGACCACAGUCCCACUGGAGAGCCCUGGGGAACAGUAGGGAACAUGCCCCUAAAUUAUCCCAGUGCCCCAUCUUUGGUGAUGGCUGCUUCCAGGGACUCCACGGCUUGCUCUUCACGCAGGCUGAGUGCACUCUCAUGGCCAGAGUAAUGCCCUCCUGAAGGAUCAGGGUUGUGCCUGAUGAACUGCUUGGGUGGCAUGUGUGUGCUGAUGAGCCGUGUUGGUUGCAGGUGUGAGCGGAGGUGAUCUGGUCAGAAUGGCAACAGCACCCAUCCCACUACCCACAAGGUGAGCCUGACACCGUUACCAAGACUUCUGUCCUUCUGGAUUCAACAGGCUCAAGAGAUUGUCUGUGCCUCUUCUCCACUGUUUCAUUAGCUGAGAAAGGCUCUGGGGAGUCUAACAGCCAGGACAGACAAAGAGCAGUAAAACAAAUACUGAGGAACUCAAGAACCAUGUGAGGUUGACACCUGAGGUAUUACUUGGACUCUGUACUGCAAAGAACAUUUAUUCAUUCAACAAGCAUCUACUGAGUACCUCCGGUGUCCCAGGCACUGUGCUCGUGGCUGGGCUUACAGCUGUGACUUCAUAGAGUCCAUGUUGUGGAACACAGCUGCCGACUACUCCUGAAAUUUGUGAAAUUGACUUCUGUAGUCUGGCAUCUCAAGGGUGACUCAUCUCUCAGUGCCAACACGCCUCAGGUAAGGACUCAGGAACUGGCUUGAGCCAGGAGUCCACUCCUGGACCAAUCAGCUAUGGCCAGGGUGGAAUUGAGUCACACUCCACCUCCUAGUUGUUCUUAAGUAAGGAUGGGGGCUGGGCACGGUGGCUCAGGCCUUCAAUGCCAGCACUUUGGGAGUCCGAGGUGGGCGGAUCACGUGAGAUCAGGAGUUCGAGACCAGCCUGGCCAACGUGGUGAAACCCCUUCUCUAAUAAAAAUAUAAAAAUUAGCCGAGUGUGGUGGCAGGCGCCUGUAGUCCCAGCUACUCGGGAGGCUGAGGCAGGAGAAUCACUUGAACCCAGGAGGCGAAGCUUGCAGAGAGCCGAGAUCAUGCCACUGCACUCCAGCCUGUGUGACGGAGUGAGAUGUUGUCUCAAAAAAAAAAAAAAAAAAAAAGUAAGGAUGGGGCUCUGGGCAGGGAGAAAUAAUUCUCAAAGAGGGGAAUGAGGGAAGAGUAAACAAAGGAUCUAAGUUGCCAGAAAACCAGAAACUAAAGAAUGAAUGUACCUAGAAGCAAGCUCAGAAUUUAGCUCUGAGCUUUGUGGUAGCCAAAGC